rnacentral:rRNA from 1 species
GAUGAACGCUGGCGGAGUGCCUAACACAUGCAAGUCGAGCGGCAGCGGGAGUAGUUUACUACUUGCCGGCGAGCGGCGGACGGCUGAGUAACGCGUGGGAACGUGCCCCAAAGUGAGGAAUAACUGCCCGAAAGGGUAGCUAAUGCCGCAUAUGAUCUUCGGAUUAAAGGAUUUAUCCGCUUUGGGAGCGGCCCGCGUCAGAUUAGGUAGUUGGUGAGGUAAAGGCUCACCAAGCCGACGAUCUGUAGCUGGUCUGAGAGGAUGACCAGCCAGACUGGAACUGAGACACGGUCCAGACUCCUACGGGAGGCAGCAGUGAGGAAUCUUCCACAAUGGACGAAAGUCUGAUGGAGCAACUCCGCGUGCAGGAUGAAGGCCCUCGGGUCGUAAACUGCUUUUAUGAGUGAAGAAUAUGACGGUAACUCAUGAAUAAGGGUCGGCUAACUACGUGCCAGCAGCCGCGGU